GACUGCCUCUGCUGAGUCAUGCAGGUUGUCAGGGAAGUGGGGGAAACCUGGCAGUCAUAGGCCUCACCCAGCUCCCACGUAAACUAAAGAGCCAGUCUCACUCCCACCAUGCCCCCCGCUCCAACAGCUCGGAGUUUGUUUCCAGGCGGUAGGCAAGCCAGGCUUGAGAACUUGCCCCAGGCUACCCGCCUAGGUUCUUCCCCCACCUGUGAAGACUGCACACUGGAUUCGUGCACUCCUCUGAGUUCUGUCGAUGGGAUCCUUGGUUUCUGUUUAUUUGGAAACUUUCUCCACCUAAAAAGCAGCCAUGAAAGUUGAAUACGUCUUGUGCAUUUCACACUUCUUAAGGAUCUCCUUCAUAAGCUGCCUAUUAUUCCAUAUCUGAGUAUACUGUCUGCAUAGAUUUUGUCCAGGUUUACAGUGUUUAUGCAGAUGAGAGGACAGGAGAAGAGAGGUUAUAUGGUUAUGUGUCCAAAAUCAUGGCCUGUGUGGUUUUGAUCCUGUCAUCAUGUUGCUAACUGGUUAUUACAGAAAACCAAAUACCACAUGUUCUCCCUUAUAUUUGGAAGCUAAACAGUGAGAACACAUGGACCCAAAGAAAGGAACAACAGACACUGGGGCCUACCUGAGGGUGAAGGGUGGGAGGGGACUGAAAAACUACCUAUUGGGUACUAUGCUUAUUACCAGAGUGACAAAAUAAUUUGUACACCAAACCCCCCUGACAUGCAAUUUACCUAUGUAACAAACCUGCAUGUGUACCCCGAACCUAAAAUCAAAGUUAAAAAAAUAAAAAUAAAUGAAAUCAUGGCCUGAACAACUCUGAAGCCCACCAUUGCCACUCUUUACCACUGGCCUCUUUUGAAAGGCUCACAAUAUCGAGUUACCCUAAACAGCCAAGCCUGAUAGUUCUCUGGCUUUUACAUUCAUUUUCUGGCAGGUUUCUAAAGUUAUACAAGUCUAGGAUUGUAAUGUUAGGCCCUCGAAAGCAGGUGUAUGUGAGAGCCUACUCUAUCAUGGUGUGGUAUAAGGGGGAGGAGGUUGGAGGGAUUCAUAUGAAUUCUGAGGGAAAGUAGGGAGGUUUUAGGCUGGAGGAAUAGUGUGAGCUUAAGAGAAGUACUGUUCACAAUGGGAAGUAUAGAAAGAUGAAACAAAGCCACACCUACCUACUUGUUUUGCCUUAAGCAUAACUGCAACUUAAACAGUCUACUUUCUAAUGGAAACUGGUUGGUACUACAAUAGUACACUUUAAUUGUAGUGAAAUACAGCAUUUUCUACACUAACUUAAAAUUUUCAAAGACACAUAAUUUAACGUAACACCAAACAGGUAAAAACUAAUUUAGGAGAAACCUAAAUUAUUAAGACAUAAUGAAUUCAUAGAUAUAGGUGUAGAUAAUACAGCUAUAACAAUAGCUAUGUAUAACAUAUAUGUAGCUGUAAGAUAUAGAUAACAUCAUGAGCUACGUAGAUAUCAGUUGCAUAGUGGAAUGAGGAGAGCCAGCACACCCUGAUUGAAAUUCUGACUCUUUUACUUUCUAAUAUUUGACUUUAGGUAAAUCAUAUCAUUCCACCAAGCCUCAGUUUUCAUGAUUGUAAAGUGUAAAUAUAAAUUCCUAUCUGAAAGAGUUUAAUUAAAAAUAUAGAUAGAUGUAAGAACAUAGUUCAGUAUCUAUUAUCUUUGUAACAUUCAAUAUCUGACAAAUAAUAUUAUUACUGUAAAUUUACCAGCCUUCCACUGAGCAAGGUGCCAUCAACCUUAAUGAAAGUAAGCGUAUAAAAUAAAAUAUUUGCAACAUUUCCCUUUACCUGUCUCAUAAACAUACAUAAUCCC
rnacentral:lncRNA from 1 species